rnacentral:rRNA from 1 species
AUGUACCUCUAUUUAGAAUUAGUUCAUAAAUUCGAAAAACGUUUGCAAUUUUUAAAAAGAGUUCUAAAAUGUGAAAAAAUAUUUUCUUUUUCCAAAUUUUGUCCGGGGUUUCAAAAAUUAUUCAGAAGUACAGAAAUGUACCUGGUUUUCCAAAUUUUGUUCAAAAAAUCGUCAAAUGCUCAUGAAAUUCAAAAAAGAGCGCCUUUUCGUAAGUUGUUCAAAGUUUCGAAAAUUGUACACAUAUGCAAAUAUUGUCCACUUUUCAAAUUGUUGUUCAAAGUUUCAAUAAAUGUUCCAUUUUUUUGA